rnacentral:lncRNA from 1 species
GUUCUUAUAUAAAUUUGUUUUUGAUGCAUCUUACAUAAACCUAUGCAUCUUGAAGGGGAUUUACAUGACUAAAGCUUUGAUAAUAUAUGUUGAAAUGCUUCCGUUGCUUUCGUAUAUAAAUUUUGAAUUGUAUAUGCAUGCUAGUCACUAGAAAUCCCACAUGAAAUCUCAUAGUUUUCCCUUCAGACUUACCUUCACGUAGGCUAUUUGUAGAGUUACAACGAGAGCAUCGUCGUGCGGAGUGCAAACUCGCUCCAUAUGUUGAUCUAAAAACAUGAUUAUGUUGCCGUCAAUGGGGAAAGCUUUGCUAACGAAGGUUACGAUCCUCAGUUUCUUGCAAGUGAUCUUCUGCUCUAUUCGUGAGGUCAUUCCAUACUCUUAGGCCCCAUAAAUGCAAUUGAUGUGAAGUGUUGGCCUUUUCAUAGGCCUCUCGUCUCCAUCACCUUUGUUCGUCGGAGUCGAUCUCCUAGAGUCAUCUCAUUUACCCUAUUUCGUCUUCUCAGCUACGAAUUCCCAAUAAUAGCCAUGGUCAAGUAGAUCCUCGAUGAAUUCUUUAAGGUUCCUGCAAUUCCUUAUUUAUGACCACAUGCUUUAUGGUAGUUGUAGUAUUCUUUGGAGUUAGGAUUUGAAUUCGCCAUUGGAUAGGGCUUCAUGAAGUAUGACUUGUUUCUAAUUUCAUUUAGCACGUUGUUGAAAGACGUGUUUAGCAGAGUGAAAAGGACGAAUCACUGCGAUGCUCUCCAUGUGGCCUUGUGCGGUCCGAAAGCCUCGAUGGUCUUUCCUUGCCCUUGCUUCGAUCAUAUCGAGAAUCAUUUACUAAUUUGCUCGAUGAAGAUAGAGUCGACGGAGGUCCAGACUUCAAUGGUUUCCUAUUCCUCUAGUUUUCCCUAUCCUAGGCGACUAUCUCAAUUGCUUUGUUGAAAUACUCCACGAGUGUGAUAUAUUCAUACUUAGGCUUAUGGACCUUGUGACUGAGUUCAAACUCGAUGGGAAGUUCCUUCUUGAAUGUAAUGGUGGUUAUACGGUCAUCGGGUAUUCCACCUUUACGUACUCAAUACAGAAUCUCUUUGUGUAAUCUUUGAGGAUUUCGUUGUCCCUUUAACGCAUUCAAGAACAAGGUAUCUGUUCCACACUUCACCUCAUUGUAUGCUGAGAAAACCUUCAUGAACUAGUCGCUGAGGGUUUUGAAGUCAGUGACAGAUCCAGAGGGGAGUCCGACAUACCACUUCAUGGUGUUCUCCUUCAAUGUUGCAAGGAACAUCUUACACAUUAAGGAAUCAUUAUGGCUGUAUAAGGCCAUAGCAUUCCGAUACGACAUUAUAUGGCUUGAUUGGUCGAAGUCCUAUUUGAAAUAUUUCACCAUUGAUUGUGAGAACUUGUUCGACUGCAUCUUUCAUGCUAAGGCAUUAGAGAAAGGAUCACCAUUGUAACAUGGUUGUGUGCCCCCUUCUAAUUGUGUCUAGCUUGGGCCAUUAAGAUCAAAAUUUAGGCGUCUAAGAUUGAUUGGAGGAACCCUGGUCUGACUAUGUGCUCCUCAAGACCGCAUGACUGGGGGAGGGGAUCUAAUGGUGCAUCUUUUUGAAGGGAAAAUUAUGAGUUUUCACAUAUAGGGAUUUCAAAGUGACUAUCAUGCAUAUACAAAUCAAAUUUAAUAUACGAAAGCAGCGGAAGCAUUUAUAACAAAUUAUCAAAGC